UCAGGGACGCUUUAGAAGUGAUGUUGCCGGGCGAUGGUUGACCCGGUCGUAAGGGAUCGAAAAUGAGUAGAGAAGUCAUCAUGGAAAGAGACAAGAAAAGCUGUAUGAAUAUCUUAGGUGCCCGUACCGCAAACAGACACAGGUAGAUAGGAAGAAGAUUCUAAGGCCAACGGGAGAAGGGUUGUUAAGGAACUCGGCAAGUUGACCCCGUAACUUAGGGAUAAGGGGUGCUCAAGUGAUUGAGUCGCAGAGAAUAGGCCCAGGCGACUGUUUAGCAAAAACACAGGUCUCUGCUAAAUCGAAAGAUGACGUAUAGGGGCUGACACCUGCCCGGUGCCGGAAGGUUAAGAGGAGAUGUGAGAGCAUUGAAUUGAAGCCCCGGUAAACGGCGGCCGUAACAAUAACGGUCCUAAGGUAGCGAAAUUCCUUGUCAGGUAAGUUCUGACCCGCACGAAAGGUGUAACGAUCUGGGCACUGUCUCAACAACCCGCCCGGCGAAAUUGUAGUACCGGUGAAGAUGCCGGUUACCCGCGACUAGACGGAAAGACCCCAUGGAGCUUUACUGUAGCCUAAUAUUGGAUUUCGGUAUUUCACGUACAGGAUAGGUGGGAGACUGGGAAGCACAGGCGUCAGCUUGUGUGGAGUCGACCUUGGGAUACCACUCUUGGAGUGCUGGAAUUCUAACCUGCGGCUUUGAAGCAAGUCGGGGGACAUUGUUAGGUGGGCAGUUUGACUGGGGCGGUCGCCUCCUAAAGAGUAACGGAGGCGCUCAAAGGUUCGCUCUGCAUGGAUGGAAACCAUGCGUCAGAGUGUAAACGCAAAAGCGAGCCUAACUGCGAGAAUGACGGUUCGAGCAGUAACGAAAGUUGGAGUUAGUGAUCCGGCGGUAUGUGAAUGGAAAUGCCGUCGCUCAACGGAUAAAAGCUACCCUGGGGAUAACAGGCUGAUCUCCCCCAAGAGUCCACAUCGACGGGGAGGUUUGGCACCUUGAUGUCGGCUCAUCGCAUCCUGGGGCUGAAUUCGGUCCCAAGGGUUUGGCUGUUCGCCAAUUAAAGCGGUACGCGAGCUGGGUUCAGAACGUCGUGAGACAGUUCGGUCCCUAUCUGUCGUGGGCGUAGGAUAUUUGCAAGGAGCUGUCCCUAGUACGAGAGGACCGGGAUGGACGCACCUCUGGUGCACCAGUUGUCACGCCAGUGGCACAGCUGGGCAGCUAUGUGCGGAACGGAUAAACGCUGAAGGCAUCUAAGCGUGAAGCCGCCCUUAAGAUAGGAUAUCCCUUCCGUUUACAGAGUAAGACCCCUUGAAGACUACAAGGUUGAUAGGCUCAAAGUGUAAGCACGGUGACGUGUUUAGCUAGCGAGCACUAAUCGGUCGAGGGCUUAACC
rnacentral:rRNA from 1 species